rnacentral:rRNA from 1 species
UGGGGAAUUUUGCACAAUGGGGGAAACCCUGAUGCAGCGACGCCGCGUGAUUUAGAAGGCCUUCGGGUUGUAAAAAUCUUUUCUAUGGGAAGAAAAUGACAGUACCAUAGGAAUAAGGACCGGCUAAUUACGUGCCAGCAGCCGCGGUAAUACGUAAGGUCCGAGCGUUGUCCGGAAUCAUUGGGCGUAAAGGGUACGUAGGCGGGUAAGCAAGUUAGAAGUGAAAUCCUAUAGCACAACUAUAGUAAGCUUUUAAAACUGCUCAUCUUGAGGUAUGGAAGGGAAAGUGGAAUUCCUAGUGUAGCGGUGAAAUGCGCAGAUAUUAGGAGGAAUACCGGUGGCGAAGGCGACUUUCUGGCCAUAACCUGACGCUGAGGUACGAAAGCGUGGGUAGCAAACAGG